GAGGGCGAGCGGACGGACGGGUAAAACAAGAACACGACGACGUCAUGAGGGGCAGCCCUGCUGUCCACCCGGCCCGUGGUCCCGUCGUCCAUGAGGCCCAGGGGGGAGCCGGGCAUCAGCGGCCUUCGCGGUCAGGAACGUGCCGGCUGACACCCCCGACUCUUCCCUUCGGCCGACCCUGACGGCCCCAGGCCCACGGCCGGCCCAACGGAGAGGGCCCAGCUUCGGGAGAGAGCCAACAGGAAAGUCAUUUCCGAAACGAGACUCUCAUGAGCCCUGUCUCGGGAGACCCGGCCCACAGCAGCUGAAGUCUACCGAGCCACUCCCAGGAACAUCUGGCUGGCGUCUGGCUGCCUCAUGGAAUCGAUCACAGGUGGUGGUGGCGGCGAGGAGGAGGGGGACACCGAUAAGAUUGGGAAACUGAGGCCCAGAGAAGUCAUCUCUUCUCCCUCCCCCUUAGAUGGAGAGUCCCGUGAAGAACGUGAACCAGGUGCAAUCCGAUCGUCUCGUAUCUGUCCCGGCUAAGUAUCAUCGUUUUAAAAAAACAAACUUUGCCCUGUACUGAAGGAUGCCAUCCUUUUAAGUUCUCAUAUAUUUCUGCCCAACCUCAGCACUUAA